GGAUCCAGACUUUGAUCAUGGCUCAGGAUGAACGCUAGCGGCAGGCUUAACACAUGCAAGUCGAGGGGCAGCGCGGGGCGGCAACGUCCUGGCGGCGACCGGCGGAAGGGUGCGUAACGCGUGAGCGACAUGCCCGUUGCCCGGGGACAACCGGUGGAAACGCCGACUAAUCCCCGAUGGGACGGAGGCCCUCAUGGGUCUCUGUUGAAAGUUACGGCGGCGACGGAUUGGCUCGCGUCCGAUUAGCUUGUUGGCGGGGUAACGGCCCACCAAGGCUACGAUCGGUAGGGGUUCUGAGAGGAAGGUCCCCCACAAUGGAACUGAGACACGGUCCAUACUCCUACGGGAGGCAGCAGUGAGGAAUAUUGGUCAAUGGGCGGAAGCCUGAACCAGCCAUGCCGCGUGCGGGAAGGAGGCCCUAUGGGCUGUGAACCGCUUUUGCCUGGGGGCAAUAAGGGCGUCGUGCACGUCCGAUGAGAGUACCAGGCGAAUAAGCAUCGGCUAACUCCGUGCCAGCAGCCGCGGUAAUACGGGGGAUGCGAGCGUUAUCCGGAUUCAUUGGGUUUAAAGGGUGCGUAGGCUGUGCGUCAAGUCAGGGGUGAAAUUCCGGGGCUCAACUCCGGGGCUGCCCUUGAUACUGUCGCGCUGGAGUGCGGAUGCCGCCGGAGGAAUGAGUGGUGUAGCGGUGAAAUGCUUAGAUAUCACUCAGAACACCGAUUGCGAAGGCAUCUGGCGAAUCCGUAACUGACGCUGAGGCACGAAAGCGUGGGGAUAGAACAGGAUUAGAUACCCUGGUAUUCCACGCCGUAAACGAUGAUGGCUAACCGCCGGCGACACACUGUCGGUGGCCAAGCGAAAGCGAUAAGCCAUCCACCUGGGGAGUACGUCGGCAACGAUGCAACUA
rnacentral:rRNA from 1 species